rnacentral:lncRNA from 1 species
UUUAUUUCUUUUUAAAAUUGUGAAAUCGACUAAUUAUAUUAUUAGAUAUAUUCUAUAUAAAUAUUUAAUUUUAAAUAUAAAAUGUAUAUUUAUUCAAAGAUUAAAAUUUUAAAAAAUCUCUCUCCUCUUUUAUCUUUUUUUGAAUAAAUCUAUUUUUAAUUUUUUUUGCCUUUUCAUACUAUCAAUUUUUAUUAUUGUGACUUUUUUACAAUAUUCAGUUCAAAUAUAUUUUCAAUUAAAAUCUAUACGAACAAAAAUGAUGGAAGUAAAAUUUGGAAAACUAAUAAAUAAUUGAAUUCUCAUAUAUAUAUUUUCAACCACCUCAAUACUUUUCAGAAUGGUGCUGCAGAAAAGCGAAGAAGAAGGGUGGCUUGGCUUGAAAUCUUUAUCGCUUCAUGGUUACGAAUUGAGUGGGCACCAAUUAAUGAAUCCCAUCAACAAGACAGUGAAGCUUAAUUAAUAAUACUAUCACUCUACACAUAAAAAUAAAAUAAAAUAAAAUAAAAUAAAACAAAAAUCAAACUCGUAAAUAUCCUUGAUGGAACAUAAAAUCCAUGGAGGUUUUUAUUUAGAAAAACAUUAGCGAAGUAUUUUAUUUAGAAAAUACAAGUGCAAAUAUUAUCUUGUAAAAUGAAAAACGACUAGAUCAUAGAGGUUUUUUUUAGCACACAACUUUUAUAACACCAAUAUAAAUUAUAAAAAAAAAACCCUUCAAAAGAAAUUUAUAAAAAAAGAUUUACCUUAUUUCUCAAUGCAAUGGUACACUACAUAAGUGUAGAAAAUGGCAUUACUUGUGAGAAAUUCAGCAGAUUUAGAAAAAACUAAUUAGAGAAGAAAAAAAAGGGGUAGAAAAUGGAGAAGAGAAGAAAAGAAAUGGUUUCGACGAUAAUAAAUGUUGCAUUCUGAGUUUUGAUGGAGAGACAUAUAUAAUGGCAGUGAGGAAAAGUUAGUUCCAUUUUGGGGGAAGAAGUCGCUAGAAAUAUUGAAGCUGUUGAGAUAUGAUUGGCUGUUGAACAGCUUCCUUAAAAUUUUUUGUAUAUUCGUCAAAAAUUAAAAUUUUAUUUACUUUUUUGGGAAUGUCCAUUCCUCGAGUGACACUUAGCAGAUCCCAUUGCAAUCAUUCCGGAGAAUCGAAUGUUGACAUGAAACUCUUCUAAUUAAAUUCUAAUUUUGCCGGCAUUUAUUCUUUCAAUUCAGCUCAAAUGAAGAUUUUGGAUGUUUAUCAUGGAUUACGACACAAGUAAGAUAGCUAGGGUAUUCUUAUAAACGCAAACAAUUUAAAUAAAUUGAAAGAUAAAUAAUAAUAAAAUGAAGAUAAUUAGAUAUGAUUGAUAAGAUUGAUAGGAUUGAAGGAGUGAUUAAAUAAUCCACUCAAACUUUAGAGUGAUAAAUAAUCACUAAAUUAGAUGAUUAAAUGUGGGCCGAAUUAUCAAUAACGGGUCCAAUCAUGCAAACCAAACACUCGAUUAAGAUGAAUUAUUUUAUCAAUCAUGUCUUAUCACUCAAACCAAACACCUCCUUAAGGUUGGUUUGAUAUGGGCAAUUAAGGUAUAUAAUAUUGUUAUUUUUUUAAAAAGAGAAUAAUAAAUGAUGUUUCAUUUUUUCAUCUUGAAACUCAACUUAAGUUAUCGUAUACUCCCUUCGUUCCACCCAUCUUGAGACACUUUUCUUUUUGGGCGUCCCACAUAUCUUGAAACAUUUGCUUAUUUGGUAAAAAUUUUAUCAUUUAUUCAUCUUUUCACUUUUUUAUCAACACUUAAUUCUCUCGUGCCCAAGAAAAAAGUUUCAAUAUAGCCGGGACGGAGGGAGUAUCUUGUUUGCUACAAACUUAACCAUUAGAAUAAUUCUAAAUAAAUUAUACUUUAAACUAAUUAAAGAGUGACAUUUAUCCUAAAAUAAAACUUAAGACUCCUUCCUUUCAAUUUUUCAAUUGGAGAUUGAAGUAACCACAUAAGAGAAAUGAAGAAUCGUGCUGAAAUAAGAUUUUAUUAAAAGAAAAGAAACUUAACAACGGAGAACCAAAAACCCUUGAAAGCACAAAGCUGCAGACUAAGGGCCGAGCCUCGUUAAAAACCUCAUAACAGCUGAGGAAAAAGAGUACUCGUCAAGGACCAAGGUUGACAGAGCUGAGUUAGGAGGUCUCAAGGAUUCCGGCCGANUUUAGUAAAUGUUUUGAACUAUAUUAUCUAUGAAAAUGUUGUUAUUAUUAUUAUUAUAUUUAUAUUUUAGUAAAAAAUGUCUAAAAUGUAUUGAAUGCCCCCAAAAAAAAAAAAUCCGGGGGCUACCGCCCCCGAACCCCCGUAACAGUUCAGCCCCCCCCCCCCCAAAAAAAUCCUGGCUCCGCCACUGACUGUAACCCUUGUGAGUUGUGAAUUUUUCAUUUAUAGGAGUAUAAAAUUAAAUAUAUAAACAAGAUUAGACUAAGAGGGUGUUUGGCUGAGUUUAUAAGCUCCUCAAAAUAACAGCUUAUAAGCUCCUUCAAAGUGUUUGGCAAAAUAAGCUCCUAAACAGCUUAUAAGCUCCUCAAAAAAUAAAUUCCUCUACCCAAACUUAUUUUUUUAUAAUCUCAUAUGCAACAAUCAUUUUACAAAUAUUUUUCAACUAUAAUUUAUUAUUUUCAUCAUUAAUCGUUUAAGUUCAUUUCUCUUCGAUUUUGUCUCUCUAAAAAAAUAUUUUCUCUCUCCAGCUUAUAAGUUCAAUUAUCCAAACAAUUUGACAAUUUAUAAGCUCUUAAAAAUUACAUCUUAUAAGCUCCAAGAGCCUAUAAGCUCUUUAAAAUAAGCUUAGCCAAACACCCCCUUAAUUAUCCCGGAAUCAGUAAAUCUCUUCAUUUUUAGGGGUAGUUUGGAUGGAUAUGUAUUUUGGUGUUUAAAAAUUGAGUGAAAAUUCAAUAAUUAUAAUAAAAUUGAAAAUUUAUUUAUAAUUUUUUUUCCUUUUUUUAAUCUUUUUAUUGAUUUAUUUCUUUUUAAAAUUGUGAAAUCGACUAAUUAUAUUAUUAGAUAUAUUCUAUAUAAAUAUUUAAUUUUAAAUAUAAAAUGUAUAUUUAUUCAAAGAUUAAAAUUUUAAAAAAUCUCUCUCCUCUUUUAUCUUUAUUGGAAUAAAUCUAUUUUUAUUUUUUUNGCCUUUUCAUACUAUCAAUUUUUAUUAUUGUGACUUUUUUACAAUAUUCAGUUCAAAUAUAUUUUCAAUUAAAAUCUUUACGAACAAAAAUGAUGGAAGUAAAAUUUGGAAAACUAAUAAAUAAUUGAAUUCUCAUAUAUAUAUUUUCAACCACCUCAAUGCUUUUCAGAAUGGUGCUGCAGAAAAGCGAAGAAGAAGGGUGGCUUGAAAUCUUUAUCGCUUCAUGGUUACGAAUUGAGUGGGCACCAAUUAAUGAAUCCCAUCAACAAGACAGUGAAGCUUAAUUAAUAAUACUAUCACUCUACACAUAAAAAUAAAAUAAAAUAAAACAAAAAUCAAACUCGUAAAUAUCCUUGAUGGAACAUAAAAUCCAUGGAGGUUUUUAUUUAGAAAAACAUUAGCGAAGUAUUUUAUUUAGAAAAUACGAAGUGCAAAUAUUAUCUUGUAAAAUGAAAAACGACUACAUCAUAGAGGUUUUUUAGCACACAACUUUUAUAACACCAAUAUAAAUUAUAAAAAAAAAACCCCUUCAAAAGAAAUUUAUAAAAAAAGAUUUAC